rnacentral:rRNA from 1 species
UACGUAGGGUGCGAGCGUUAAUCGGAAUUACUGGGCGUAAAGCGUGCGCAGGCGGCCUGUUAAGACCGAUGUGAAAUCCCCGGGCUUAACCUGGGAACUGCGUUUGAAACUGGAAGGCUAGAGUGUGGCAGAGGGGGGUGGAAUUCCACGUGUAGCAGUGAAAUGCGUAGAUAUGUGGAGGAACACCGAUGGCGAAGGCAGCCCCCUGGGCUAACACUGACGCUCAUGCACGAAAGCGUGGGGAGCAAACAGG